rnacentral:lncRNA from 1 species
AUAGGAGAUCUCUUCUAAUGCUAAUGAUCUAUAUUCUAAAAGUUAAUAUUCUCAUUUCAUUUCUAGGACUAAACAUCUAGGUUCUAAAAUUCUAUCCAGUUCCAACAUUUUAGACCAUGACACAGAAAUGCAAAAUCAAACAUCUAGUUGCCCUCUGAAUUUGACAUUCCAUAACACGGUGUAGUGGAAAGAACUGUGGAUCCAUCAUCUGAGGACUUCAGUUUAAAUUUCUGGUCUGCUAUUUUUCACCUGUGUGACUUCAGGUCUGGCGUGCUAUGGUGUUUGUAGCUUGUUAUCAUGAAAACCAUUAUAAGUUUUCAGAAGUGGAGAUCUUGUUCCUGGGUAUCCAGGAUAUCCACCCAGCAGAAUCCACAUGCAGAUUGAAGCAUACUAUUCUUCACUUUAUUUCCUCUAUGAAUUUUUCACUAGUGUAAGAAAUGUGUAUCUUAUUUCAUAACAUGAUGAAGAAGGAAAUAUAUAUUAUAUGAUAAUAUAUGUGUAACCUAUAUCAUAUCCCUUGCCUUCCUGGGCAAGCAGAAGGGAGAGAACAUGAAUUGAAAAAUGUCAAAUAAAUGAAUGUUUAAAUUGUAUUUACA